AACGAACGCUGGCGGCAUGCCUAACACAUGCAAGUCGAACGAGACCUUCGGGUCUAGUGGCGCACGGGUGCGUAACGCGUGGGAAGCUGCCCUUAGGUUCGGAAUAACUCCCCGAAAGGGGUGCUAAUACCGGAUAAUGUCUUCGGACCAAAGAUUUAUCGCCUUUGGAUGGGCCCGCGUUGGUUUAGCUAGUUGGUAGGGUAAAAGCCUACCAAGGCGACGAUCCAUAGCUGGUCUGAGAGGAUGAUCAGCCACACUGGGACUGAGACACGGCCCAGACUCCUACGGGAGGCAGCAGUGGGGAAUAUUGGACAAUGGGCGAAAGCCUGAUCCAGCAAUGCCGCGUGAGUGAUGAAGGCCUUAGGGUUGUAAAGCUCUUUUACCCGGGAUGAUAAUGACAGUACCGGGAGAAUAAGCACCGGCUAACUCCGUG
rnacentral:rRNA from 1 species